rnacentral:lncRNA from 1 species
CAUGUGUUGGUCGGCCCGGCCUGGGGGAAGGCGGGACGUUACAUAUUGUCUCUACUAUUGUAGGAUGGUAGUCUCUAGUGACAUUAAUUAAUAUAGAGAGCUCAUAUUAGGGCAUGUUCAAUGGUAGAGAUGAGUAUGGUCUCUUAAACAAUACAAGAUUAUUAAGAGACCAUAUCUUUACAAUAGUUGAGACGACAAAGGCUCUAAUCAUUAACUCAAAAAAUAUUCCUUUUAUUAAUAUUCUUUCUAUCUUUUUACCCUCAUACAACCAUAUUUCCAUAUUAUAUAACCAUACUUCCAUAUUAUAGUGAUUAAGAGUCGUUGUCAUGCAUAACAACGAUGUUUUGUCUCUCCCCUUUCUCUUUCUUCCAUGUCAACAAGUAUUUCUAAUUAGCAACGCUAAGAGACCACUAUUGAUAACUAUUGUACAUGCCCUUGCCUAAAAAGGCUAAUUCAAAGUAGGAGUAGUAAUAAAGCACAAAGCACAAUAAUUAUGAACACUAAUCCACACACUCCAUUGAUUCAAGUACACACAUGAUCCACAAACUUUCCGUUCCAACAAACGUAAUUUUACCGGUUCAUCCCCACCGCUUUCCAACCCCCCCCCCCCCCCCCAAAAAAAAGGGCCCCCACCCUACCUUAUCCCAAUCCGCAAGCAUCCUCUCUCACCGACAUGCGGGCCCAUCCCCCCGUGCCGCGUAUGACGUCGGCUUCCCCUUCCGUUCCGUUCCGUCGCCGCAAGCCCAAGCCACGCACUUCCACGUGGGCCCCACACGGCCCGUGCCCCUCACGCCCGGCCCACGACGCACCCCCUCUGCCACGUGGGCCCCACGCGACCUAUGCUCCUCUCUCACUGCGCGUGGGGCCCACACGUAGCGUUCCGAGCGCUGCCAGCUGGGGCCCGCCACGACCCGUUUACCUCACUGCGCGCGGGACCCACGCGGGUCUCUGCCAGUGGGGCCCACACGCCUCUCCUGUCCGCGACGCAACCCGUCUCUCUCUGUAAGGAGAGGGAAAAAAAUACAAGGCAGAAAGGGGAAAAAAAAGGAAAGGAAAGAGAAAAAAAACGCAAGGCGAGAGAGGGAGGGAGAGGAGUCGGAGGCAGCGGCGCGGGCGAGGCGAGGUGAGAGCGAGCGAUAGAAAUACGAGAGCGGGAGGAGAGGCGAGGAGAGAGAGACACAGAUAAGCUCAGCCCUAACCCUAGCUCCCCGCCUCGCCGCCGCCGCCGCCGCCGCCGCCGCACCGCUCCCCGGGGAGCGGGACGUCGCCGCCGCGGCGCCUAGGUGGGUAUCUCCCCUCCUCUCUCUCUCUAUCCCGCUCCUUGCUUCCUUGUUUGCCUCGCGUUGGGUUGGGAAGGGCUCGUGAUCGGGGCGGGGGUCUCCUCCCUAGGGCUUGCGGCGGUGGGGGCGAUGGGGGGAUGGUGCGGUGGAUCGGGGUGGGGAGGGGGAUGAACGGGCGGUUUCGUCUUGUCCGGGCGGCCGAUCUGAGGGGGGAGCGGUGGUUUGGUUGGUUGGUCUCGUCCGUAGUGUUGAUUGCGGUAUUGAUGUCACAAAGGGAGGAAACCUCGUCCUGAGCUGGAAUUGGCUGUGUUUGUGGCGGGUGCAUCGGUGUGGAUGACUCAAAGGGGUGAUUGCGUGGGUUGGGAUGCGAUGGGAACUCUGUUCUGGAGAUGGUUUACUUUGAAGCAGGAAUUCUGUUGAUUAGAUUUGCGCAUAGAUUGCUUUGGUUGAUCCAUUAUAGUGCACUUGUGCAUUGUGCUGGAACGGUGGAAUGCUAUCUUCAGGUUGCUUACAUGAGUUUACUUUGUUUGCAGGUGUGGUUGACUCAGCAUAUUUGUUCCGUCUGCCAGCCGCCGCCCCUAGGGAUCGAUGGCUGUUGUCGAUCCUGUUAUGUUUGACAACGACGACGAGGAAGGUCCGAUCUCCUUCAAGAGGUCGAGCACCUCUGUGAAGAACAGGCCCACCCCCACAAAGCAGGAGGGCUCAUCAGGGAAUGCCGGACCUAUUAGGAGCCCUAAGGCUGUUGCUUCCAAUCAACAGAAGAAUGGGCUGACUGGUGUUUCGAGGCCUUUGCAACAGAGGCCGCAGUCAAGCAGUCCAAACCCUCGACCUUUGGGAUCAGGUCAGCCGAACAGUUCCAAAGAACAUAGUAGCCAUAAUAGUAACUCAGUGGAUAAGAGUAAAUUGAAAAGACCUUUCGUGGAAGAUAAGUCGGAUGACUCAGAAGAUGACCAUAAGCCAAUCGGAUUAAGGAGAAAGGUCGAGGAUAGAAAUUUGAAGAAACCUGCUGUAGGAAGUGGGACAGCAAAUGAUUCAGAUGAUGAUAAACCAUUGAGUCUCAAGAUAAACUCAACAAAAACGCCUUCGAGUAGUGCAAAUAAGGCUAUUGUACUGAAAACUACACCUAAAAUUGAGCAACCUGGUGAUGAUUCAGAGGACGAUAAACCACUGGCCAGCAGGUUGCCAACUAAUGCUGCUCUGAAAAGGGGAGGUAAUGUUUCUGAUGAUUCAGAGGAUGAGAAGCCAUUGGCUGCCCGAUUUUCGAAAGUUACUGGCAAUGCAUCUGCAAGUAUCUCAAGUUCAAAGGACAAGGUCCUGUCUGCAAGUAUAAAAGCAAGUUCUUCCAGCAAGAUGUCUAACAAUGACGCGAGCACAUCACGAAAUUCAAUUAAAAGGCCAAUUGACAAUAAUAAUCAAACAAGUUCAGCUCUCAAGAAGGCGAGGCCUUCAGAUGUUUCUGCGUCUGCAAGUGUCAAAAGAGAACCCAAGGCGGAUGACAAUGACAAUGUACCUCUUUCACAAAGACUGAAAAUGGGUGAGUCUUCAAAAAGCAAGCCACCUGCAAAGAAUAUCGUAAAGAAGAGUCCUUCAUCUUUAAAGAAGGACAACAAGAAAAUGAAAAUGAAAAUGAAAACAAAGAAAACAAUGAAAAAUUCUCAGUUCUCAAAGACAAUGAAGGUCCCUCCUGGAUCUGGUGGUGGACAGAAAUGGACUACCUUGGUGCACAGUGGUGUUAUUUUCCCCCCUCCAUACAAGCCUCAUGGUGUCAAGAUGCUUUACAACGGGCAACCUGUUGAUCUGACGCCAGAACAAGAAGAGGUGAGAUAUAUAACAUUAGCUGAUUUUUACUUUACUUUUCAUCUUUUGAUUUGUACCAUGAGUGACAUUUUAAUCAGGUUCUCCUGAAUCCAUAUCUUGCUACCAGAUAAUUGUUCCUCUACUAAUUAUCUCUGUUACAGGUUGCCACCAUGUUUGCUGUGAUGAAAGACACUGAUUAUGCAUCCAAGCAAACAUUCAUUGACAACUUCUUCACUGAUUGGAGAAAAAUUCUUGGUAAAAACCAUGUCAUCAAGAAAUUUGAGCUUUGUGAUUUCACCCCGAUCUAUGAAUGGCACCUAAGAGAGAAGGAGAAGAAGAAGCAGAUGACAUCUGAGGUACUGCAUGUUUUGUUUUGACUUAUUCAGCAGAAUGAAUUUAGUUUUUGUGCUGGUAAUCUAUAAAAAGUUGUCUACGGAAGUGAACAAUCUUUAAAAUUCUUCUUCUGCAGGAGAAGAAAGCAUUGAAGGAAGAGAAAUUGAAACAAGAGGAGAAGUACAUGUGGGCUAUUGUAGAUGGUGUUAAAGAGAAGGUAUUUUUCUUUGUGCUGCAAAAAUGUAGUUACAGAAAGUUAUGGCUAGUAAUUGUAGAUAUUUCUCUUGUUCCCCAUUCUUCUGUUAUUGUUAGGUAAAUGUUUUUUUUAUUAUAAUCUAGCAAUUGUUUUGUUUUACCCUAGCGUUCAAUUUUGUGAAUAAUUUUGCACCAGAUGUCAACAAUGCAUACCAUGUGUUAUACUUAGUUUGCUUCAUGACAUGUAAUGUUGCCUCGAUGUUCUUAUUUUUUUUUUAACAUACAUGACAGCUGUGUCAUCUUCUAUCUGCUGUGCAUACUAGGUUCAUUUCGCAUAAAAUUACUCUGGGUUAAAGUACUUUGUUCCUUUCAGGUUGGCAAUUUCAGAGUAGAACCACCUGGCUUGUUCAGGGGGCGCGGAGAGCAUCCGAAGGUAUAUAUAUGGAUACAUAUACUCGUCGUGCUGUUUUAAGUAAGCGACAUCAUUUUGAUGCUUUUUUAUUACAUCGUUUUAGAUGGGAAAACUGAAGCGCCGCAUUAAACCAAGCGAUAUUACAAUAAAUAUCGGAAAAGGGGCUCCGAUCCCCGAAUGUCCCAUACCUGGAGAAAGGUACGCUGGAAAUUUUCCCAUUACCUUUGAUGUGUAAUUUAUAUUUGUGAAGGGGUUGCUAGUAUGUGCUCACUCUUUAUUUGGUCAUGUGUACUGCAGUUGGAAAGAAGUCAAACACGACAACACAGUUACAUGGUUGGCCUUUUGGAAUGAUCCAAUAAGCCAAAAAGAUUUCAAGUAUGUUUUCUUGGCAGCAAGCAGUGCAUUAAAGGGCCAAAGUGACAAAGAGAAGUAUGAGAAGUCUCGAAAAUUGAAGGUGAGAGGGUUCAUUGUUUGUGUCAUGGAGAUGUUGAGUUUGCAUGUACAAAUAAUUUUUUUCUGCUUGGUCAUUGCAGCAUCACGUACACAAAAUUCGUGACACUUACACAAAGGAUUUCAGAAGCAAAGAUAAGACAAAGAAACAAAUUGCAGUGGCAACAUACCUUAUAGAUAAGUUAGCCCUUAGGGCAGGCAAUGAGAAGGUACUUUCUAACCUGAGCUCUCUGACUGACAUUUAUGAAUUGGGAUAUAUUUCUUCUGCUAUCGGUGCAGAUUGCACAGUAAUCUCCCCCACCAACCAACCAAUAACAAAAAAAAAAGGAAUAUGUGCCUUCUGUUCUGACAUCUCUUCUGAAUGGAUAUUUACACUAUGCAACAUAGCGUUUUGGUUCAAGACUGUAUCUAGGAUUAGCUGUGUGGCUGCUCAUCAUAAUUUUGCAUAAUGGUCAACAUAAUGCGCAUAGAUUUUUGUUAGAAUACAAUCUUCAACAAUGACAUACAUAUAGUUUAUUAAAUAGCUUUGAAUUACAGUGACAUACAUAGUUUGUAUACUUAGCCACUACUUCAAAUUCUUUUCAGGAUGAAGAUGAGGCUGAAACUGUUGGUUGCUGUACACUGAAGGUUGAUAAUGUUACUUGUGUUCCUCCAAAUAAACUGCAGGUAUUGGUCUUCAUUAUUAAUAAAUUCUGCAUGUGUAACUUGAUUUAGAUGAUAUCUGAUGUUCCAUAACCUUUACAGUUCGACUUCCUUGGUAAAGAUUCUAUAAGAUACUUCAAUACUGUAGAGGUUGAACUGCUUGUAUACAAGGCAAUUGAGGAAUUCCGUGCUGGUAACUCUGCCCUGCAACUCUUUCUUUCCCUCCGAUCCUCACCUUGCACUAGUGGAAUCACUUCUGUUUUCUUAAUCUUUAUUCUAGGCAAGAAACCAGGACAAGAUCUCUUUGACAAACUCGAUACAACCAGGCUAAAUGCUCAUCUAAAGGACUUGAUGCCUGGGCUUACCGCAAAAGUGUUCCGUACAUAUAAUGCUUCAAUCACCUUGGAUGAUAUUGUAAGUUCAGAUAGAUCUUCACAUCUUUUUCUUAAACUUUCACUGCUGUAUGAAGUGAUUGAUUGAAGUUUGUAAUGGUUUAAGACAUUUUAGUAGUAUAUAUGUUGUUCCGUUCUGUUUACUUGAAGCUCAAGUGUGUAACGUGUUAUUUCACAAUAGUUGUUUUCUGAACGUAUGUCUAUUGGUGCUGAUUUUACAGUUGCACAAAGAAACAGAAGAUGGAACUCUUCUUGAAAAAAUUGCGGUUUAUCAACGAGCCAACAAAGAGGUCUAUUGUGUUUCUCUUUAAGAAAUAGAAAAAACUUAUAUUUGACCUGUUUUGAUCUCAACCAUACUUCUUGUUUACUCAGGUUGCUAUAAUCUGUAACCAUCAGCGUAGUGUCUCAAAAUCACAUGAUUCCCAGAUGACUAGAUUGAAUGAGAAGAUUGAUGAAUUGAAGGUUGAAUUUCUACUGCAAAUGAUUAGCCCAACAUUGUACCAUUUCAUUCUUUUGUCCUUUUCUGGUAAACUCUCUUGUUUUUUUUCUUUUCUCCAGGCCCAAAGGGAUGAAUUGAAGGCAGACUUGAGCAAAGUAAGGAAAGGAAAGAAUCUAGGCAAUGACAAAGAUGGGAAACCAAAAAGAAAUUUGGCCCCUGAAGCGUAAUAAUCUCAAUCACAGAUAGAUCUCUAUUUUGUAUAUAUACAAAAAAACAAUGUUGAGAAAUCUCACCAAAUUUGCUUGCAGGUUUGAAAAGAAGAUAUCUCAGAUUGAAACCAAGAUAGAGAAGAUGGAGAUGGAUAAGAAGAUUAAAGAGGAUUUAAAGACAGUGGCACUAGGAACUUCAAAGAUCAAUUACCUUGAUCCCAGAAUUACUGUUGCAUGGUGCAAACGCCAUGAAGUACCCAUCGAGAAGGUAACAGUGCUUUAGGACAACUCUAUUUUUCUUUCCAUAUGAAUUGGCCUAUGCAAAGUUGACAGGCACAUCCUCAUUGUUCUUAUCGAGAUUACACUUCAUUUUAUAUUGGGGGUGGGAUUCUGUUCAACUAAACUAUAACUGUGCAUACAAAAAAACAUUUGAUUUGAAAUCCCGGAUAUUUGAAAUGAUAAUAGUCUGUCGUCAUUGCAUCCUGAACAAAGUAAAAUUUUCAUUUGGCAUAUGAUCAAAUCAAAUGAUUGAACCGAUUACAUUAACUGACAGUACUGUUCGCCUUGACAGAUUUUCAACAAAUCACUCAUUGCGAAAUUUUCGUGGGCAAUGGACGUCGACCCGGAUUUCAGAUUUUAAGAGGGUACAAGAGCAUUGGCUACUGGUCAUCCGGCCUGUAGUAAAGUUGAUCCAGCUUCCAGUCCUUGUCCCGGACACUAAUUUGCAGCUAGGAAAGGAAGAGCUCGGUGUUUGUUUUUGAAGUCCCCUGCUCCUGGAAAGAAGGAAGCACCCGGCAUUCUCAUUGUAGGCUUUUUUUUUCUUUUACUACUUGUUGGUGCCUUUGCCAUCGGUCCUCAAGUUCUGUAUGCAUUUGGGCUGAGGAAUUUUAGCUCGCUGAGAACGAAUGGACAUUCAUUUUAUACCGAAUUAAUCUCAAAUAUACCAUGAGGUUUCGUUUGGUUGCGGAAGGGAACAUUGUUUGCGUAUGUACUUGCGAACUGGUAAUGGAAGAAGUGCUGAGGUGUAAAUUUUGAUCAAAGAUAUUUUUCCUGAUCCUUUCAUGUUAUGUUAGUACAUAAUCCAUGAUAACGUUUGAGGACAAUUUAUAGUGCUCAAGGCUGGCAAAUCCUAGUCGAUGGAAUGGAGCACUGUUAUGAUAUUCAAAUUUUGGUAUGACUACUCUCGGGUAGUCGGGUGCAACAACGCAAUCCAACGUACACCUGAGCACUUGUAAAACAAUGUGACGACCUUUUGUUUCAAGAAGACAGAGAAGCACGGGGGACGGGGCUAGAAUUAUUUGGAGCAAUAAAAACCAUCCAAGGAAACCAUCGGUUGGGCUCCAGCUUUGUUAAGAUGCACGUCUCUCUUGAAGUCGGAGCAACGAAUAGACUACACUAAUUCUGCUUGUAUUAAUAAUCAUCUUGUUACAUCCUAUUAAAUUCUUCUAUGUUAAAUUAUAAAUUUAUAUACUACUAUAUAUAUAUUAUCUCUUCUCUAUCUCUAUCUCUUCUCUACUACUUAAAAAAAUAAGAGAUGUUUUCUUCGUCCGUCAAAAAAAAGAAAAAAAUAAAAAAAAGUCCAACUCCCUCUCAGGUCCGACUCCCGUCAAAACAAAAAAAAAAGUUUGAGUCCGAGAUCCCAGGCACACACCUCUCAGUUUCAAUCUAUACCGUGAUAUCCCAUAUAUCUUGGUGAAAAAAAUUGAUGUGCCGGAUUGAAGAUCUAUUUGCAAAAACGGAACCUACCGGUCGAGAGCAUUCCAUUUUUAUAUAAUUUUAAUUUUUGGGUUUGUACUUUUCUAUGUGAGUCCCUAUAAUUUUUAUAUUUACAUUUGAGUUCCUAUAAUCUUGCAAUAAGAUACUUGAGGUCUUUUUUUUAAGAAAAAAUAAUAAAAGGGAGAGAACUAGGGCAUAAAGGUGCAUAUAAAAAGAAAAAGAAAAACUGCAAAAAAAAGGGAAAAAAAGAAAAACAAUAACAAUAAAAUUUUGUUUCCCCUAAGUGGCGAAAAAAACCGUAGAUCCGAUUCCUAUAAAAGGCAAAAAAAAGUGGUGAAAAAUAAAGGCCAGAUCCGAUUCCUUUAAAAACAGAAAAAUAAAGUCUGAUUCCAAUAAAGGCGAAAAAAUCUGAAAAAACAUCUAAAAAAAAUUCGUCCGAUUCCCUAAGAAAGUGGCGAAAAAAUGGUUCGUAAAAAAUAAAAAUGCACGCGAGAAAAAAAUGGAAAGGGCGAAACAAAUUCCGAUUUCUUAUCAGUAUAUAUCUCUUCUCUAUCUCUAAUCUAAUCUAACUAUUUAAAAAGAGAAAAUGCACGAGAAAAAUAAAAACGGUUCAAAAAAGUGCGUGAGAAAAAAGCACAAAAAAAAUGCUAAAAAGGUUUUCCAUCUUCCAUAAAAAACCGUGCGAGAAAUAUUAUUUCCAUCGUCGGUAAUUUUUUUUAAAAAAAACAUGCAAGGAAAAAAAUGUAAGAAAAAAUGCGCCAUUUCUAAGAAAUUAUUUGAAAAAACCGCGCAAGAAAAAAAACUGUCUAUUAAAAAAUAAAUCGCUCUGAAAAAACUGUCAGAAAAAAAACGCUAAAUUGAUGGACGCUUGAGUCGGAUAGGAUCCAUCGAUUUUUUACCAUCUAUUACACGGCUUUUAUUUCGUCAUAUAUUCUCAUCUAUUGGAAAAAAAAGCAAAAAAAGAACGUUAAGAAAAAAGCAAAAAACGCGUGAGAAAAGAAAAGCAAAAAGGGAGGAAAAUAUGGUUUUUGUUGUCAGUAAAAAAAAUAAAAAAAAACAUGCUAAGAAGAAACUGUUAGAAAGUAAUACGCCGUUUAUAAAAAAACAAGCCGCUCAUUAAAAUACAAAUAUUAUCAUUGACAUAAUUAUGCAUAAAAAAACGUAUAUUAUUAUUAGAAUUUAUUCACCCGUUGCAACGCACAUGCAUUUUUGCUAGUAUAUAUAAAAAAUCCAAAAGUUGGGUAUGUAACCUUAGUUCAUCUCGCUCUAGAGAUGCAACUAAUCCAACUACACGAAUAAAACCCGCUCGUUACUUCAUUUCCCACAUGAUAAUUUGGAAAAAAAAUAAAUUAAAAGUAGGAUAAGCGAAGGAAAUAAAUCCCGCACGAUAAUUUUAGAAAGAAAAUAAAUUAGAAGUGGGAUAAGGGGAGGAAAAAUAAUCCCAUUUACCAGCUUCUCUUGCAUCCCUGUCUCACUCCCUUUUUCUUUAGGGGCAAAAUAAAUUAAAAGUAGGAUAAGUGUCAGAAAUAAAUCCCACAUGUUAAUUUUGGAAAAAAAAAUAAAUUAGAAGUGAGAUAAGCGGAGGGGGAAAAAUCCCGUUUACCCGCUCCACUUGCAUCCCUGUCUCACUCCCUUUUUAUUUGUGUGAGAAAAAAAUCACAUGAGAUAAUAAAUAGGGAAAAUAUACUUUGACUCCCUCAACUAUUGCCCGAGUAUAAUUCAUAUCCUCCAACCACAAAACCGGGUAUAUUGACUCCUUAAACUAUCAAAACCGGUGUAAAAAAUGCCCCUUGGUGGUUUUGGCUGACGUGGUGCCUACGUGGCGGUCUUGAACGAGUCUUUGUCCAACGUGGCGCUUACGUGGCAUUAGAAUAAAAACAAAAAAAACAUGUGGGACCCAUAUGCCAUUCACACAAAAAGUGAGACCCACUGACAUGUGGGACCCACAUGUCAUCCUCCCCCCCUCUCUCUCCUCUCUCCCUCCCUUAUCUCUCUCUCAUGGUGGCAGUGGCCAAUGGGGACGAGGCGGAGGGGAGCGGUGGCGGCGGUGACGGCGGUGGGGAGCGACGGCGGUGGCGGUGGGGACGAGGCGGAGGGGAGCGGCGACGGUAGCGGUCGGGAGGAGGAGGAGAAGGCGGAAGAGGUGGUUUACGGGGACGAUUGUGGCGGAGGAGAGCAGAGGAGGAGGAUGAGGAGGAGGAGGAGGGCGUGCUUCGUGCUUCAGGGAGGAGCUCGUGCCGCUGCCGCCGCGCUAGCCAGCCGCCGGUGACGCUGACUCCGACCCCCCACGGGGGCGGCUCCCCUCUCAUACCCCUUCCUCCCUCCUAGUGGCCGCGGGCCAUAGCCGCGUUCUCCACCGCCACCGUCGCCGCUCCCCACCACCUCGUCCUCACCGUCAUCGCUGGCGCUGCCUGCCACCACCGCCACCAACGCUCCCCUCCGCCUCGUCCCCAUCGGCCACUGCCACCACCGCCGCUCCUGAGUCCCGAGAGAGAGAGAUAGGAGGAAGAAGGGAAGGAGAGGGAGGAUGACAUGUGGUCUCUCAUGUCAGUGAGUCCCACUUUUUUGUGUGAAUGACAUAUGGGUCCCACAUAUUUUUUUUGUUUUUAUUCUAAUGCCACGUAAGCGCCACAUUUUUUAAUUUUGUUUUUGUUCUAAUGCCACGUAAGCGCCAUGUUGGAUAAAGACUCGGUCAAGACCGCCACGUCAGCCAAAACCACUUCCAAAACCACCGAGGGAUAUUGUUUAUUUGUUUGCACCGGUUUUAAUAGUUGGAAGUUGGAGGACAUGAAUCAUACUCGGGUGAUAGUUGAGGGAGUCAGAGUAUACUUUUUUCCUAAUAAAUAAAGCUAUAUGGGCCUUUCACCCUAACCCGGCCCAUAAUAAUAUGGUUUGGUCCUAUCUCAUACCCAACACCCAACCCAACCCAACCCAACUCCUCCUCCUCCGCCUUCUCGCGCUCUUCUAGGGUUUUGCCUCCUCCCGAUCCGGCUGCCGCGCUUCCAUCUCCGGCGGUCCGGUCUAUCCUCUCCGCUCCUUGCGCCUGCGCCGAUCUCCAUCUCGCUACCAGGGGAGGGGGAGAGGCGCUCGCCGCCGUCGUCCUGCUGCUUCUUGGUGAGCAUCCGCAUCCUCUUUUCUCAUUCAUCUCCCUCUCUCUCUCCAACCCACCCGCUUUUGUGUCCAAUUUGCUUGCCUGCGUUAACUGUAUCUUCUCUUCUAGAUCUGGGAGAAGCUGAUUUUCUCUUAAUUUGAUAGCCUUAAACCUUAAUAAUAGGACUAGAAGUUUUGUUUUUAUUUGCCCCUCAAAAAUGUUUGGGGAUCCCGUCCACUGGGUGCUAAUCCUGCCUCUUGCGUCUGCAGAUUCUUCGGAGCUAAGGCGGGGAGGGUUCUGCGGCCAGUAUGGUAGAAUAUUUUUUUUAGUUUUUUUUGUUCAACUGCUCGUUGAUUUCUUCUCUUCCCACUUCAUUUUUUUUGUUCUGUUAGUUUGUGUUGAUUUUUAUUUUUUGUUCUGUUGAUUUGGUUGCUGUGCAGCUGUUCUUCUCCUACUUCAAGGAGCUCGUGGGGAAGGAGGUGACGGUGGAGCUCAAGAACGACCUGGCCAUCCGCGGCACGCUCCACUCCGUCGACCAAUACCUCAACAUCAAGCUCGAGAACACUCGGGUUGUCGACCAGGACAAGUACCCGCACAUGGUAUGCGAUGCGAUGCGAUGCUGCUCUGGUUAUCUAUCUAUCUGUCUGUCUCUGUCCUGGUGAAAUAUGGAUAGCAAUUAGCCGCUUGUUUGCAUGGGUACUUCUGUAGAUAUAUUGACUCUGCAGCAAACACAGUGUUUCUUGGUUCUUUACGGUGGUCUUCUGUAGAUAUAUUGACUCUGUAUGCUUUGUUCUCUGUUCAAGAUAGAUUUAGGAAGUUUUCAUGGUUUUGUACUUCAAUAUGCAUGUGCGUUUGUGCAUUUGCUAUGGUUUUUCAGUUGAUUAAUUAUUCACUUCUUUUUACCGUGUUUACACAUUUUUCUAUUCCAAAUUAGCUUGAACAACACACAUGUACAUGUGGCAACUCAGUCAAUUUGAUAAGGUCAAAAUGGUCAAAUAGGACUAUAACAUUUUUUGUAAUUACUAUUAUGUACUACCUCCGUCUUGAAAUGUAACUACUUUUGGCUGUGAAUGUGGACAAGUACUUGUCCAGAGUCAUAACCAAAAGUAGCUAUAUUUUGACUUAGUAGUAUUGAAGAACUUCAAGGGGCUAUUCAUUAAAAUGUAGUUCAUGGAGGUGGGGUCGCACUGCCUUCUUUCAAAAGGAUUUAUACAUAGAUAUUGGUUCAUGCACGGUGCUAACCCCGGGCUUGUCAGAAUACUAUCCUCUGAAGGAGCCCCAAUGCCUGUGCUACAUCUUCCAUGCCAUUCAGUGUUGCAGAUCAUGAUGCUUCUUGUGAUUGGUCUGUGUCAGAUUAAUGGAUACAUUCAAAAUCACCUCAUUCUACAUGAUUUCAGAUUUCUUCUCUUCUGUUUGCAUAGCAUGUACUUGUCAUCUGUUGAUUUAUUAAUCUGUUAAAGGAGUACCUUUAGCAUGAUCCUUACAUGUUUAGUUAGUGCUGAAUGCUGUAUCACAAUUCAGAAUGGUUGCACGUCUGACAUGUAGUUGCAUAAGUAAAAGAAGUACGAUAUGGAUAUGGAUCAGGUAACACUCUCCGUUAGUAACUAGGAGCUCCGUCAGUUGGCCAAGAGCUGACUAUAUCCAAAAAUUGAUUUGUGGGUAAACUUUUAUAUGUCUUCUUAGCAACUUAAAAGCCAAUGUUGAAAAAGAAACUAAGUUGAAAAUACCCUAAAAUCAACUCCAAAAAAAAAGUUCUAAAAUUCAAAUUAUGGCAGCAGCUGAUUCUUCUUUGGGCAUACAGUGAGGCCCAAAAUGUCAGUUAUAGGAUCCCAGUAUCCCACAACCAAGAGUAUGCAUAAGGAAGAUAAUAAUAACCAUCUUUAUAAACCAUAGUAGAUAUUACUCUUCAUUAGAUCACUUGUUACUCUCUGUUGUUUUGGGCAUGGGCCAGGCCCAUGCAGCAGUUUAGGCAUGAUAAUUUAGGAAUAGUCAAAUAAAGAUAGGAGAGUAUCUAGUUAGGAAAGAGAUGAUGUUUAUUAGAAAGUUAUAGAUAGAUAUUGGAUUGGUUUCUGUAGUACUAGAGAUUAGUUCCUUGGAUGUCAAGUCUAUCCUCCUAUAUAUAAAGGGACCCCAUAUACCCUAUAAUCAAUUAAUAUCUGAAGUUAGCGCUAAGCCUUAGAGUUCUAAUCAAUGAGUCUUUCAGCUCAGCAGGGAGAAGUCCUGCCGCUGCUAUUAGAGGGCGAGUGCCCUAUCCCCUGGUCUUCAGACCCUUACCUUAGCCAAUCCAUAACACAGUGGUGUGUUGACUCCAAUCAAUGGUUCUGUAGUAAAUGUCCUGAAGUAGUCACCAGCUAAUGAUAAAAGGCGGUAUGUCUAAAUGUUUGUAGAACAAACUUUGGGCUACAUUGACAUGAAUUUAGGAAUUAAUGGGGAGUAGAUCAUAUAGUGGUAUACCUAGUUCGUGACAUGCCUUACUGGUGCAGAAUUAGGAGCUUAAGAUGCACUGGUAAUUCCAGUGCAAAUACUGUUGUAACCAGGCAAGCACAUUACUUGACAGGGACAACCAGUAUCCGUACCUAGAUAUUUAUUUGGCCUUCAGUUCCAUCCAAUGAUAUUGUAUGAAGGGUGUACUUUUGUACUGCAUAGGUUACUAAAGAUUGCUUGUUAGUUGUUACAAGUACAUGAUGCCUGAAGUAAUCCCAAAGGAAAGCAAAGCUAUAGAUCAAUGUUAUAUACUGUGUUUUGUAGGUCAUGAUAGUGAUGGAAAGAUUCAUAUCCUUUUGUUAUCUUUGCUUGCUGAAACAAUCUUCAUACUCUCAUUGCUUUACCACUUGCACCUGUUAAUUUCUAUUGUUAAAAAUACAACAACGCACCUGUGUUCACUGUUCUAUAUGGAAGAACUACAUUAAUCAAGCACUAACACUUUACAAAGAAUUCAUUUGAGCAUGCUGACUCAAGCUUUCGCUCUGGCAGCUAUCCGUGCGAAACUGCUUCAUCAGGGGAUCGGUGGUGCGGUACGUGCUGCUUCCCCAGGAUGGCGUCGACAUUGACAUCCUCCAUGAUGCCACCAGGAGGGAGGCUCGCGGAGGCUGAUGAUCCACACCGUAUUUUCGCCCUUGGAGGAGCCCUAAAUCUGAUGUAUGGGGGACAUGUAUGGAGUAUGGUGUGACAGACAGCAAUAUUGACAGGGAGUUAAAAAAGUCUGUAGCAAUUCCUCCUGAUACUUGCAGUGACAAAACUAUCCAAAGAUUGCAUUUGGCGAUGCCAUAUGCUGCUUCCCUUUCUUGUGUACUCCAAUCAAUGUUUGUUAGAUCAACGGUGCCCAUUGGUUAGUUGAGAUGUUUUUUCAGGCCAUGUUCCUGAGAACAGGCUGCACAUUUGCAUGUUCCAGUUCAGCAGAUUGUUGUUGACCGGUCAAUGAUCAAUGACUAGAAAUUAUUAGGCAGAAUUUGGAUGAAUGCGACUUGACGUUAAAGCGUCGCAACUUUUUCCCAACUUAAAAUCUGAAAACGACUGUGAACCUACUUAUUCGAGAGCUCAGGAAUUCGUAUAAUACUAUAUUGGAAUAGUGUGUUUUUGCAACAAUAUGAGUAGUGGCUUUUGAUCUUAAAGCUUGCGACGAAAAACACUCAAAUUAAAGUAGUACUAUAGAGUUAAGUGAUCAUCGUGACAAUGAAACAAAAUUCAUCAUCAUUUGCAAGCCUCGCGUGCAAGCAUGCCUUUGUACGGUUGGUGACGUCAGCGUAUACCUCUUUAUUCGUGCAAUGUGAUUAAUUACUGGUAACGAACAACGUUGAUGUGUACUGUAAUAAUCCUAUGUUAUUGGUCCUAAGCACAUAGAGAUGCUAACGCGUCAGAAAGUUCAGUUAACUAGUUAAUUCGAGUAAUGUGUACACCCUGCUCAUAUCAUGGUUCUCGAUAUUUUUGUGUUAACCAAGAGAAUAACAGUACACAACCCAUUAAAAUUAAACGAGUGUGAUGCAACUAUAAUAUCUUGGAGUCAUCUCUAUGUUCCAUUUUUUUGGGAACAAAAAGCUAAGUGAAAUUGGUUGGUUGUUAGUUCUUGCGAAUGAAUCUUAUUCAUGUGAAACAAUAAUCAAGUAACUUAUAUGUCAUUUUUUUUCUAGAAAAUGAUAGACAAGAACGGUGAGAAAAUAAGAUUAAUUAGCGUUGUUUCAAUUAAAUGAGAAUGAAUGCGAAGUGAGCGUCACUCAACUGGUUAGGUUCCCUGUGGUCGAAUCAACCCACUUGGAUUUAAGUCUUAGACUUAAUACGGGUAUUCACAUUUAGAGCUAAUUAUUUUUUCAAUGGUAGGCGACAUAUUCAUCGAUAGCGAGACUUUAGUGGUGACUUCGUGAAUCUCAACAUAUGUCAGUCUAGUCUUUUAGAGGUGCUCAUAGAGAUAGGGUGUGCGUGUGUGCGUUUAUAGGGGUGAGUGUGCGUGUAGUGAGCGCAUGUGUUUGUCUUCUGUUUCUAAAACAAAAAAAAAAGAGAGAAUGACUAUGCCUAAACAACUAAACCACCAAAUAGUUAAGAUUUAUCAUGUACUCUCUCGUCCCAAAAUAUAGAAGCCUAAUAUCUGAUUAGACAUUUCAUAGUACCACGAAUCUAGACAGGCCUCCUGUCCAGAUUACUAUCCCUCUCCUUCCCCAACCGAUGCCUCCCCUCUCCACUUCUCCCAACCGAUGCAUAGACGAGCUCGGCAGUUUAGCGUGAGGGACUGGUGAAAAGCUUAGCUGACACGCGAGUGGAGGUUGACGACAAGCACAACAACAUUGGUCAGGGACGGUAGGAUGAGUCGGCGAGCUUCUUCGACCCUGCCGCCUUCCCCAUCGAGCCGACGUGCUUCUUCAGUGCAGAUCGAGGUGGGCGAGAGGUUGCCGGCGGCAGCCCAGCAAGCUCCAUUGACCCAUCCCUGAUCUCCAUCGCUCACUGAAAAAAAAAUCUCCAUUUAGCACCUCAACUCCCCGUUGGCACCCCUCUCCCCUCCUCCCCUUCUUUACCACUCGACGACAAGGGCGAGAUCCACAAGACGAUGACAACAUACUGCAAAUGGGACGAGGGUUUGAGGCGGCCACCGUCGGGCUGUUGUUGCGGACGUAUCGAGGCCAUCGCCACCCCCAUUGAGCUUGCACCCCUCCUCCUCGUCUGCGGCCAUGCCAUUGCCGUCACCGGCUCGGCCCAAGUGCUCCACGAGGAUAGCGCCUCAUUGCCCUCCUCCCCUUGGCAUGGAGGACAGGGAUGGCGACGAGGUACCUAUACUUCCUCUUCCUUCUCUAGUGGUGUGGGGCAUAACUAUAGGCCAGACCUGCAAAUUCUGAUAAAAACGUGUGGCUCAACUUGGCUCCGUGUUCUUCACAGGACAACGAGAGAGCCUGACGUGGCAUCAAAUCUCCGAUCUGGCUCACUCGGACUGAGAUAUUAUUAACCACACUGUAAAAACCCUUAUAUAGUGGUGUCUACAUAUGUGUCAUCCAGGUAACCGAGAAAAAAAAUAUCAAGUGGUAUGUUACUUUCCUAAAAGGAAAAUCAUGUGGUGCUUGUACUGAAGGAGUAGUACACAAUCAUGUCGAUGAUGCUCUAAUGUAUGAUUCUUUGUUUCACUUGGGUCUAAAAGGCCCAUGCAGCCGUGAUGGAUGCUGAGGGAACAUCUGGUGCAUCGAUCGAAGGUGACAUGAUUUGAUUGAUAUCAUCCCAACACAUACACCUAUGCAUUGUCCCCCCAACUCAGGCCCCAUGUUACCUUACCUCUCUUCUCCUAUCUUCUCACAUAUGCUUUGUUUCCUUUGAUUUUUCAAUAGGAGAAUAACAGGGUUUACCUUACCGCCGGUAACCGCGCGGUUACCGCGGUUACCGGGCUUACCGUGGGGGUAUGGUAAUAUAAAUACCGCGGUAACCUCCUUAAAUUCAAAUAAAUUUAAAAAAUAAUUUGAAUUUUUGAUAAAUUUUGCACGGUUUUGUACGGUUUUUUGCGGUUACCGUGCGGUAACCGUGCUUACCGCCGGGGCGCGGUAACCCCAGCCCCAGCGGUUUGGGAAACCCUAGAGAACAACAGCUGAAACAAACAAAAUCAUGAGGGUCUCAGGUUGCAUCAAGUGGUAAAGAUACUGCUGAAUGAUGGUGUGCCUAUGUUUUGUGCAGCAAGAAAGCAAGCAAAACAAUGUCUUGAUGGUUUUUUUUUUUCUCUUCUUUGAGUUGGUUGUGAGGAAAAACAAUGUUUUAGUUUGGUGUUUGAGACUUCUCGAAUACAUUUGUAUUUGCAUUUAUAGGAACUAGGGAUAAAAACGUAGCGGAUAAUGCUCAUACCAUAUUUGUCUUCAUAUUUUUUGCCGAAUAAGAAAACAAAUAUGGAUAGCUCGAAUACGGAAACAAAUACGAAUAAGAAUCGAAUAUGAUUGGACAUGACUACUGAAACAUUUUUUUCUUGGAACACGAAAACCAACUCAACUUCUAAUAGAAACAAAUAUCAACAUAUAUAAUUAGCUCAUUUUAUAUAAAAUGUAGUAUAAUUUAUAAAUAUUUUUAAAAAUUUAAAUAAUAUUAAUAGUGUGUACUAGUGUUAAGAGAUGAACUACUAUUAAAAUCUAAAAAGGUAUAUUGAACAUCAUAGGGUUAUAAAGAAAUUGGGUAUGUCUCACGGCUUCUGCGGAUAUUCGAAUAGCACUGUUCACCGGAUAUCCGAAUUAUUAUCCGUAUUCAACGGAAACCCCGAUACCAUAUCCAUAUCCGUAUCUAGGAGAAAAUAUUCAUAUUCGUAACCGUAUCCGAACAAUCUGAGAAUUAUCCGAUCCGAAAGGUAUCCAUAUUCGUUUUUCUCCAGAGCAGACGGAAACUAUCCGCUCCGUUUUCAUCACUAAUAGGAACCAUCACCACUUAGCACCAGUAAGGUAUUCUUUGCCUUCUUGUUUGCUGGAAUUGUUUAGUUGAUCUAUGCUAAAAGAACAUUUGCUUGUAAUAACUAAUAAGUGGUUAUAAUUUCUUUGAAGCAAAGACUGGUAUUCGUUCUAUUAUAUAAAAAUAGUAAGGUCUCUUUUGGUACAAAGGAAUUUUACAGGAUUUAUGGAGAAGCUAAAGUAAUUCAUAUGAAAAUUCUGUGAAAUUACCGUGUUCAAGGAAAUAGAUUUUUCAUGAUGAUAGAAUCAAGAGAGCUACUGUUUUGAAAUCAAAAUUAAAUGAGGCUGAAGUUGAACUCGAUCAAGAAAAUUACGGUAGCGGCGGAUUCAAUUUUAGGCUAUCUUAAGAAGGACAAUUAUUCAAAACUGACAUGGCUUCUCUAGUCAUUUUCUUUCAUGACAUGUGAACCUAAGUCUACUUAAUUCCUUUUUAACAAAGCUACAUUAGCAGCUAUCCGUACCAUCCCCUAAUUGAUUAAGUCAACUGUGAUCAGAUCCAAGAACAAAUAAAAUAAGCGUUACUUGACCACUCACCUCUGCCUAACAGUAGUACCGUAUCAGAGCAAGUUUAAUAGUGUAGCCAACUACUAGCUCUAAUUCAUCUAUAGCCAAUCUUAUAGCUCAUUCAUACAAUAGUUAGACACUACACUAUUAAUAUAUGGUCUCACCUGUCAUACACAUACUGCGUCUUGGAGUCCAUACUACAGCUGGCUACAAAUAUGUAGCCCGCUGCUCUUCUCUCUUCUUAUUUAUCUUCUUAAAAUAUGUUUGCAGCUGGCUUAUAGUCUGCUCUUAAUGAUUCAUUUUUACUAUACCAAGUCCAUGGCCCUGUUUGGAUCCGGAGGGCUAUUUAAUAGCCCUCGGGAUUAAUAUACCUCGUUAGAUUCGUCUCGCAAAAUAGCCUAGGGGUUAUGGAAUCGGUUUUGUCGGUAAUCUACGUUUAAUACUCCUAAAUAACAAGAUUCCAGAGAGCUAUUUAAUAGCUCGGAGAAUCCAAAGAAGGCCCAUGUAAAAUAGUCACAUUUUUUUUCUCCAAUUGAAAGCCUAUAAACAAAGCAUUAUGCUGGCAAGAACAAUAAUGCUGUCCACACUAAGUUUCUCUUGCCACCCGUUACUGGUGUUACCGCAGUAAUCCGACUUGUGAUAACGCCUGGUAACCCAACUAAGUUUUUUUUUAAAAAAAGUUGAAAUAAACAUUUAUUUUUUUUCAGUUGUUCUCGAUUUAUUACGGUAAUCAAGCUUACCGUCGAGAUGUCGUAACCCCUUCCCAAGUGGUAAAGAGAACCCUGAUCCACAAAACAAUCAUUGAUAACCAUUUUAUACACAUAUGUCUAGCUAGUUAAUACUAACACCUAAGAAAAUAUGUAUAUUAUCUCCUCACUAAAGAAAAAGAAAGUGUAUAUCUUCAUACUAAAUAAAGCACCGUACGCUAUUAAUCUAUCACAAAAAUCGAACAUGCCAUAGAGAAUCAAUCAAUAAAGCGCGACCAACAGUCGUGAAAAUGAUAGCUAAAAAUGAGCUUUGACUAGCCACGGAAAUGAUAUCAAUCAACACACUAUUGGGCUAAAAUUGAAAUACACUAUUUCGCAUUGUUUAUACAUUGGCAAUCAACCUGCCACUACUGCAUGUAAGUACAGUGCUAGAUUGGGGAUAGGCUGGUUUUCCAUUGCAUUCCUUGCAAAAAGAAAGAACCAAAGUGACAACAAGUUGGGUGCGCCUGGCGAUGUUGGGUUUUCUCGUCCAAGCGUGGGGGCCACAGAUCAACAAGAUAUUAAGCUACGUGGCACAUCGCCAGCCAUGGGAUUUGUAAUAUUGCUAUGCUCACCUCGCUUUUGACCUCAUAAUUUAUUUUGGUUUUAGUCGAGUGCUUGGAAGACACAUGUAUGAACACAUGGCAUUACGCACGCACACCACACAUAUAUAUCAGUGAAUGCAUUUCCUUAACACAUAUCCUCGAGUGUGCCUUCUUAAUAUAUAUACCUCACGCUUGUCUUUCUUUUUCUUGAUUACAUAGAGAACACACCACACAUCACUACGAGCGCAUUCCCUAGGUAGUAUGCACACAUUAAUGAGUACGUCUCCUUAACAUACUUCAAUGAGAUAAAGAAAAGUGGCAAAUCGUUUUCUCUAUCUAUUAUAUGAAAAUGUGUGAUGAUAUAAUCUUGUAUCAUGAAUUUUAUGUGUUAGAAAUUGAUUGUAUCAUGCGUUUGUGUUAUUUUUUAUGUUUAGUCUUGGACUCGCAAUGUAGACAAAUAUGUUUGUAUUCUCUUUAAGAGGGUGUAAGUUUUUAUUGACAUACAAAAGAUAUUUCUCAAAUAGUCAAUUUACCAUUAUAAUAUCUCUUCCUUGUAUAUUUUAGGUGUUUUAGUUUUGUCCUAACUUAAAAGUUCUCUAACUUUGGUUAGGAUAGAGAAAUAUUUAACAUCAACAAUAUCAAAUAAAUACACUACUGAGACAUAUUUCACGAUGAUUUAAUAAAACUAAAUUGAUGUUGUAGAAGUUGGUGCAUGUUUCUAUAAAUUUAGUCUUUGUUAGAAAAAAGUAACUUUAAGACAAAAACUAGGACACCUUAAUUAUAAUAAUAUGGAGCAGAGGGAGUACAAAAAAAAGUGAAUAUGAUUCGGUCUAAAAUAAGGGUGAAUAUCAUACAACAAAGUGUCGUAAAUUGUUUUCUUUUAGAAAAGUUGAUGAACUUCAGUUGUAUGAAAUUAUAAUAACAUUGUAAAUGGAAAAUCUGUGUAGCCUUAGGCAUUUUAUCCCUCACAAAUUAUAUUUUAACAUAUGCCAUGUGGGACCCAUGGUGUUGGGCCACCUGUCAGUGACGGGUCGGUUGGGAAGACAACGAUAUGUGCUGCCACGUAAGCCUAGAAGAGAGGCUGGUUGGUCACGCGGGCCACACCGGGACAAGCACACGUGCCAACGUUGAGUGGGCCCCCACACCGUGAUUUUGACCAAUUAUAAUUGUCAAUAUAUAAAUUAUACUAGUAGUUUUUUUUAAAAAAAAAUUAAUGGAUGACGAGAAAGUUUAUCUUGUAAGCAAACAUUGCUUAGAAAGUGACUUGUAUUAAUUUGUUGCUCUAUAGCAAUUUCUGUACUAGGGCCCUUCAAAAGUUAAUAUUUGGAUUUCUAGGAAAAAUAACUAUACCUGAAAAUGCUAUUAAGAUUCUAAGAAUAUGGGUUUAUUAUUUCUCAUUUGUAUCAAUCCAUGCAUCCAUGACUCCGACUUUCCUGUAUAUGUCCCUUUAAUUUUGGAACGGUUCUAAAAAGAAUGGCAUCCAUGGUCAAUUUGUUGUGUAUAUAUAUAAUCUGAGUAAAAUUCAUGGCAUUGCUAUAAACAUUUGCAUCAUUUUUUUUAUAGACCUUCCAAAUUGAAGUGGAAAUGUCCAACAGAAGGGACAAAAGGAGAUAGUACCUAAGCAAGAAUUAUGGAGCUAGCAUGAGUUGUGAAAUUUUCUAUGCAUAUAUAUGUUCAUGUCAUCAUGUGCAGCUCAUGUGCUUUUUAUAAGUGUAUGCACAACCUUGAUCAACUUUUACAUCACUUGUUAUCUGUCCGUGCUCUUGGAUUUGAAGCUAAGAAUACACGGUUUUACACUGGUAUGGUUUAGCAAUCUUCUCCCAAGAGUUACUUUUUCUUCUUCUCUCUCACGAUGUCAUCAAUACAUUCACACACGGCAUGCCUGCCAAUACACCUAAACACAUGUCGUCUCGUCCCAAAAUAUAAUAAUUUUUAGUUGUAAAUCAUGUCAAAUACCUUCAUAGCCAAAAGCUGGCAUAUUUUGAUAAACCUAUAGUGCCACCGGAACAUACUUCAUAUACUAGCUAGUUUGCCCGUGUAUUGUCAUGGAAAAGGGAUGAAUUAGGGAGCACAAAAAUUUUAUCGAUAUUGAGGGGCUCAAAUGUUAGUGAUAAAGGAUAGUGGUGGUAUAUUGUUAAUUUUAAAGUAGUAUAGAUAUGCAUAAGAUAUGCAACAUCAUUUAUAUCUUUUGUGUAAACUUGAAGGUACUCCCACUAAUUUCUAACAUUAUUAAUUUCCAGUUAGCUAUCUUGUCUUGCAAACAUAGAGUAAACCUAAGGGGUUCCAAAGGUUAAUUAAGGUCUAGAUUAUGUGAUGGAGUUUGUUGAGAGGUGGAUGUUGCACUCACCUCCACUAGCUGGUACACUAUUAACUAUGCAUUAAGGCCCACUAAAUCUAGUCAUAGCACGUGAACCACUCCUGAUCCCUAUGACAUCCUGUGCUCCCCUACAUCUGGUAAACAGUAUCCAUGUCCUUGCUUAACGUCUCUCUCCCCUCCUUAAUUAUAAUUAUUUCUUUCUUGUUUUAAUUAGCUUAUCUUGUGUUCUAGUAUAAAACUAAGUUAUUAUAUAUAUAUAUAUAUAUAUAUAUAUAUAUAUAUAUAUAUAUAUAUAUAUAUAUAUAUAAAACAAUGUAAAACACAACCGCUCAUAUAAACAUGCAUAUAUCCUACUUCUAUAAACACCUCCAAAGACUAGACCGAUCUAUAUAUCUUGAGAUUCACAGAAUUAUCACGGAUGUGUUACUGUCGAUGAAUAUGUUUUAUACCAUUAAAUGAAUAAGGAAUUAUAUGUGCUAGCACAACCUUAUAAAAACCUCAGUCGACCACUCAAUCUAUUAGCUUGCCUAUUCUUUUUUUUUUCAUUUAGAUGGAUAGUAACAUAAUGUUUUAACUUAAACCUUAAUAAUGAAAUUUCUUGCACAAUUUUAGUUCAUAUAAAAAGAUAUGCUUUUGGCUUUGUCUUAUGUUAUGAUUAUCUGACAAAGCCAUCGGUAGUUAAAUCGUCGUAGCGCUGUCGUUAUUAUAGUUAUGCGCCGAAACUGUUGAGAGAUAAACCAUAUUUAUAAUAACUGAAACAUAAUCCGUAUUUCGUAGACAAGAUUACAUCUAGAAGAAAGGUGAAGAAAAAAAGCCAGUUGCUUGGAUGCAUUUAGGACAAAAAGGAGAAAAAUCCGUGGAAAACAUACAAAUUAACUCAAGAAAUGGCCAAAUUAAAGUUUGGGAAAGAAAAAAACAACCCUCCUCCAAGCUUUUUUGCGACUUAUAAGAAAAAAAAUGGAGGGGGCAUAAAAUAGGCGAGGGAGGUGGGGCCCACACAUAAAUAGCAACCAACCGCUGCUAAAUAAAGCCAACUCGCGUCUCCUCUUCCCUUCGCUUCGCUCCUCUUCGCGAACCCAAAAAAAGAAAAAAGAAAUCCAUUUUUUUCCCAUUAUUUUUUUCUCUUUUUCUUUUUAUUUUUUCGUUCUCGUCGCCGCCGUCGAAUCAAGGAGGCGGAUGACGCAGAGCGGCGGCGGAGGCGGAGGCGUCCACCACCACCUGAACCACCACGGCCUCUGCUGCCUCUCCGCGGCGGCGCUGCCGGCGCCGGACGCGCCGCCGACGCCGGAGCCCGAGGCGGGCGGCGCGGCGGUGGCGGUGGCCGGGGUGCUCCACAAGUGGACCAACUACGGCCGCGGGUGGCGGGAGCGGUGGUUCUCGCUCCACGACGGGGUGCUCUCCUACUCCAAGAUUCGUAGGGACGCCUCCGCUGCCGCCGACGAGGAUGGCGGCGGCGGCGGCGGCGGCGAGGUCAGGCUGAUCGGCGGCGCCUCCGCCAGGAUCGGCGGCGCGCGCCGUCCGGACAAGCCCGUCGGCGUCGUCUGCCUCAAGGUAACCCAAUCCUCUCCUGCGAUCUCGCAGAUCAUGUUUUUUUUUUUUUUUGCCCCAACAUUUCUCGGUUUGCGAAUCUGUGUCUGCGAGGAAUUUUCUCUUUCUUCCUCUUUCCGAAUCUGAAUCGAUCAAGCAUCAAUCACAUUUUGCAUUGUGUUAGUGUGUGAAUUGUUCCUUCGUUUGCGUUGGCGAAAGAGACUGGAAGAUUCUCUGUCGAAAUCUCGUUACUAUGCAAUGGUUAGUUGGGAGAUUGCGUCACAUUUUGCUGGAUCGAAAUGACGUGAUGUUCUUUUGUCCUCACGAAUUCUUGAAGUUUUUUUUCCCUUUUUUGUUUGUCAUUUGGACGAUUAUUUUGUUCAACAUGAUCUUGGUGUGUGUUCUUGGAAUGGAACAAAAUUUCCGAAUUAAUUUCUGCUUUGUUCAUGACAUGAAUGGGGGGGGGGGGGCAUAUUGGAGCAGUUAAACACCUGAGGUUUUGAUUGACCAAUCAUCUCAUUCGUGGUCCAAUGCCACAGAACAAUGCCUAAAUUUAGCAGUAUCAGGUUAAGGUACAAAUGAACAAAAAUGAUUCCUAUUUUUCUCUUCCUGAUACGAGAUUUCCCAAAAAAAAAAAAAGGGCCGCACCUUUCUCUAUCACACAACCAGACACAUCUUUUGCACAAAAAUCCCUCAACUUUUAGUGGAUUUAGCCAAAAUUUCAAGCUCUCCUGUAGAAUUUCUUACAAAUGGCAGGGUUCUGUGGCAACUCUAAAGAACGAUGAAGACAGUGAAGUUUAUCCGUCCCUCGCUGUCGUAUUAAAAAAAUGUAGAUGAUAUAAUUAAUUCCAACUGUGACACAAUUAAUCCUUAAUGAAGCAUGGUUAAUACUGUGCAUUAAGUUGAACAAAUCCGGGUGGUUACAGAAUAUGCUCAGCGAAUGUUUUUUUUUUAAUUUUUGAAUUUUAUUGCAUUAUUGAUUUGUACUGCUCCAGAGGGAGAGGGUUGCUUUUCCACAAGUCUUUUACUAGCUGUUGAACUCGCAGUAGUCGUACUAGCACUGAGUCUUUUCAAGGCCAUUGCUCAUGGGUCCCCAACAAUUAAAGGAUGUACAAUUGCUUUGCUUCCAGUGGUCACAUAUACUAGAGCAAGAUAGUAAGGGGGUUAGGGGUUGAAAUAGAGGACCUGUGUGUAAGUUAGAGUGAAUCAGGAGGGGCCUUGUGGAUCUCCAAGAACUGCUCUACUUGCCCACUUCACUUGCUUGGUCCAAGGUAGUGGUCACCAUCUUGAUUGUAUUUUCUUGGUUUUCUUGAAAUCUUUGUUGUCGUUGUUUUUUCUCUCCAUAUUUUGAUGUUAGAUGUGAUGUACCUUUUGCUUGCCUUUUCCCCCUCACCCUUUAAUUAAAGUUGAAGGGAGUGGAAGUGAUUCACAUGCCUUUCUUCCUGGAAUGCCAAACUAAUGGUCUUUGGAUCUUUAUUUUUAUUUGUCUUGGUCUGCAAUAAGCAUUUAGCUUGACUGUUGAUUAACACGAUGGAUGGUAGUCUGCGUGUGUGUGCUCUAUUUUAUUUCUGAUGGAUAGCGUUACAUGUUGGAAAGUUCACUCUGCAUUUUCAUGUGCAAGGUCUCCCAUAGCAAAGCUAACUGGACAUUAUGUUGUAGUUGUCAGCAUUUCGGGAGAGCAAGUCGGAUGAUAGGAGAUUCUACAUAUUUUCCCCCACAAAGACACUUCAUUUGAAGACAGAUUCAAAAGAAGACCGUGUUGCCUGGAUCGAGGCCUUGAUCUUGGCGAGGAGUUUUUAUUCGCUAAGAUCACUCAGCGGAAGGAUAACUUUUGUGCAAAGCGAUGUUUCGGUCUCGACUGCCAGGCUUCGGAAUCGGAUGCAGCAAGAGGGACUGAAUGAAAGUCUUAUACAAGAGUGUGAGCAGAUUGUGCUUACGGAGUUCUCCAGCUUUCGCAAACAACUGAAGCUGUGCUACGAGGACCAGCUAAGCUUGUUUGGAUCCUGUAGGCACCAUUUUGAGGUAAGGAACUGCAUGCGUUAAUUAUUGGAUGCCCUAUUUUUAGGACCAGUGCAAACCUUCACAUGCCUAACUUGGAAUGGAAUCGGCAGCUAACAAAAACCUCUUAUGCCCGUGGAAAUUUAUCUUGAUAUUCUUAUUAGUUCUUAAAAUGCUGCUGAUCAAUACAUAGAUCUUCUUUGGGACUUGUUUUCUAACUCUGCAAAGUUACUCUCCUUGAAAGGUUACUCUGCUCUCUUUUCCUGCAGGAAUUUUACGUAUUACACACAUAUUUGUGCAGGAAGGCAAAGAUGCAAGUAUAAUACAGGGGGCGUUGACAAGAAAUGACUUUUCCAGUUCUCGACAUGGAAAUUUUAGCGGUAUGUUUUCAUAGAACGUACUGAGCUAUUUCUGCACAUGAUUAGCUGCACAGAUAGUCUUCUGGCGAUUUUAUCCUUCUUCACGCCACUCCAUCGGGCAUUUUUGAAUGUUUAUGAUUCAUUUAGUUGCCUGAGUAUACUAGUUCUGCCUUGUAUUAGAAGGAAAAACCUGAUGUUGUUUACUAGUCAGUGGCUAUAACUUUCAUUCAUUAAAUUGACAUUAGCAUUUGUUAAUGUUGUAGUUGUUUGCUUGUCAUGCAGAAUACAGCACUACAGAAUCUGAUGAAUUUGAGAAGCAAGAUGGUGGUGACUUGACUUGUGAAGAUGAGUCUACUUUCUUUGAUGCUGCAGACUACUUCAUUGAACCAAACGACAGAUCUUCAGCAAUGUUAAGCUCAACCAGUUGUGGUGAGGGACUUUUGGAUAUCCAAAUGGAAGAUUCUAGUCACUUAUUACCACAAAUCAAACGGCGGAGUAAACUACCAGAGCCUACAGAGAAAGAGAGAGGCAUCAGCCUUUGGUCAAUUAUUAAAGAUAGUGUCGGCAAGGAUUUGACACGAGUAUGCCUUCCAGUUUACUUUAAUGAACCACUCUCAUCCCUCCAAAAGGGCUUUGAAGAUUUAGAAUAUUCACACCUUUUGGAUCAAGCUUAUCAAUACGGAAAGAUGGUAAGAUCAUUUUACAUAUGUGGUUCUGUAUUUCUACGUUUCCAGGAUAUUUGCUUGUUUUAUGAUGAGAGUAUAGAGAUCAUUUACAAUAAUAUUAGACUUCAGCUCAAUGUCAAUCCCUAGACGUGAUCAUGAAGAAAACAAAAACAAGCGCAUUACGUCUGUAGUUUGCAGAUUUGUGUUGAGAUCAAUCAUUCUGUGCUACAAAAAUGAUCUCUGCUAUACAAUGUUAGUCUUGCUGAAGCGACAAAACUCUUUAAGAAGUGUGGUGCUUUAAUAAUUUUACACAUAAAAGACUUUUGUUGAUUGUUCAUAUUGUAGUUUCGAUCAGCUGGUUUGGUGUAGGUAUGAAAAUAGUCAUAGUUGAGUUCGGAAAUUAUUUUAACUCUAUGUAUCAACUGGCAUGUCUCUCUAUUAUAACGAGUUCUUUUUUUUCACGUGUCUGUUAAAUCUAAAAUUUAGGGAAACAGUCUCAUGAGAAUUCUCAAAGUAGCUGCAUUUGCAGUCUCUGGCUAUGCUUCAUCUGUCGCAAGACCUUGCAAACCAUUCAACCCGCUGCUAGGAGAGACUUAUGAAGCCGAUUUCCCUGAAAGAGGGGUCCGUUUCUUUGCAGAAAAGGUUGGUUAUCUAACUCUUUAUUGUAUUUUUCUGUGCAAAGGAAAUAUUUUAUCUUCCAUUUCAAUUUUAUGUGAAGGAUAUAAUGCAAAACUGAUAUCUACUGAAAAUUAAUGUAAGUUCCACAAGGCAUGACACUUGCCUCCUUUUCUAUCUGUGAACUAAAAUUUAAUAUCUUGAUAGUGUGAAGCAUUUAAUUGCAACACAUUGCUUUUCGUCAUUUUCAUCACUAGGUUAGUCAUCACCCCAUGCUGAUUGCCUGCCACUGUGAAGGCAAGGGCUGGAAAUUCUGGGGCGACAGCAAUCUCAAAUCCAAGUUUUGGGGGCAGUCAAUUCAAGUCGAUCCGAUUGGUGUUCUGACAGUGGAAUUCGAUGACGGUGAAAUCUUCCAAUGGAGUAAGGUCUGUAGGAUGAUACCUGAACGGAAUCUAUGAUUUUUAUGUUCUUCAUAACAAAGUUGUGUAUGUCUCAUGCUAAAGUGCUAGUGCCAUUUUAGGUGACAACAACUAUUCAUAAUCUCAUCCUUGGGAAGCUGUACUGCAGCCAUCAUGGAACCAUGCACAUAAAAGGGAAUCGCCAGUAUUCAUGUAAACUCAAGUUCAAAGAGCCAUCGCUUCUUGAUCGCAAUCCUCACCUGGUAUGUUUUGUUUCACCUCCUUUUUUCCUUGUCAUCCUUAACUGUCAUUUUUAUUACUGUUAGCCUGAUAUGUGGAGAAAACCAUGUUUUCUGUGUACAGUACCUUCUGACUAAUCUGUAUAUUACGCUUAUUUCCUUGUCAAACAUUGCAUGUGUGGAGUGUGGACAACGGGUCACUUAUAACAUGAAGAGCUGAGUGGUCUCCUUCAAUCGUACCAUCUGAUACAUUAAUUGCACAAGCAUGUUCUUAUUUUAAUGCGUUAUAGUAGUAUAAAUUUAAACCACAAACUCAAUGCAAGGUUGCAAGUUCCUACUCUGAGCUGCCCAUCGGUGCUGUUAGAAUUAUCAGUCCAUUGAUUGUAUAUGGAUUUGAUGAAACUAGUCCAUUUUCAUGCUGAUAUGGUAGUAGCAUGAAAUGCCCUUGCAAUGAGAGUAGUGAUUUUUCCAUGCGAAAAUUCCCUAUGUUGUGGAAAUUUAUUUGGCCCUUUUUUCCAUGUAGUUCAUUCUGAAUGCUACUGUAAGAAACUAUGCACUGUUUUUACUUGUGAACACAAGUGUUUCUGGUGGAUAUAUCUUCAUACCGUGCUUACACUUUUUAUGUCCACAGGUACAAGGCUUUGUAGAGGAUGAUGAUGGGAACAAACCUUCGUUUUUGAUAGGAAAAUGGGAUGAAAAUAUGUAUUAUAGUAAUUUAGAUACUUCCAAGGUCAAGAGCGUUGAUCAAUUGAAAGGUGCCGUACUUCUGUGGGAAAAGAACAAACCUUCUCCUAAUCCAACGCGAUACAAUCUAUCGUCGUUCGCUAUCACAUUGAACGAACUGUCUCCUGAUCUUCAGGUAUGUGUGUAGUCAUGAAUACUCCACAAGCUUUGAAUUGUUUACUUGAUAUCAAGACUCAAUGAUCCUAAUUGAAUUGAUUGGUCAUGUUCAAAGGACAAACUCCCUCCUACUGAUUCACGGCUAAGGCCAGACCAGCGGCAUCUAGAGAACGGUGAAUAUGAGAAGGCAAACGCGGAGAAGCUGAGGUUGGAACGACGACAAAGAAUGGUAUGUUCUCUCUCUCUCUCUCUCUGUGAAAAGAACUCUUUAAGAUGAACAUAGAUUUAGCUUGUAGAAACCAUCACGCAGUUGCUGCAUUUUGAUUGUAAUCUGCUUUGUCGCAGUCGAGUAAGCUUCAAGACAAUGGCUGGAAGCCGAGAUGGUUCCAGAAGGAUGGCGAAGACGGGACAUAUCGCUUCAAAGGCGGUUACUGGGAAGCAAGGGAGCAUGGACAAUGGGAUGACUGCCUUGACAUAUUUGGGGAGUUUUCAGAGACAUGAUGAAUGCUCAGGUUCAGUUGCUUUUAGUAGCAUUAGACCAACUCCAAGUUCAGUUGGAACUCUGAAGCAUUUGCAGGUUUUUCUGCAUAGAAACAAGGACAGCAAUGCAAAUGCAAUGCAAUGCAAUAUGAGGAAGGAAUAGACAAUAGAGAGCAUUGCCAUCUUCAGUGGUAGAUAUGCAUGGAUGGCGUUGGUUACCGGGCUGUUAUUAGCUCAUUUCCUGAACAAUUAUUCGUAAUAAUGUUGCUCUUCUUUUGUUCGUUGCCUUGGAUCCAUGUUGGGAUUGUGAGGCCAGCACAUGUCGAUUGCACAGAUCGAGCAUCAUUUGUAGAAAAGGAAAAAGGGGUAAAUUUAGAUGAAAAAAGAUCACCAUGGAAUGUGACGCUGCAUUAUUAGAAAACCAUAUUCAGAUCUUUUGGACUGAAAAUGUGAUCGUUCUUGCAUUUCAAGUUUUGCACUUGUGCCUUGUUCACUGAGAAAUCUAAGAAAUCUAAGGAGAGCAUUUGAACAAGCCAAACCUACUAGUUGCAAAUAGUUAAAUUUCCCUCGAAUAGGUGAUAAGGUGAAGAAAUAAAUAAGAAAAGAAAAUGUGAGCCAUCCCCUCGUACAAGGGACAACCUUCGUACAAACCCCAAGAAAAAAAGAGAUGAAAGAAAAAGAGAUUAGACAAACAAAUAAAAUAAAAUUAUUUAGAAAAGAAAAAGAGAUUAGACAAACAAAUAAAAUAAAAUUAUUUAGAUUAGUAUGCUAGAGUAGUGAAAAUGUGGUGUAUUGUAUAUAUCACCUCUUAUCUUGCAUAGAUAAAAUUAAAUGUGACAACUACCCCUAUUAUAAAACUUGCCCUAAGCGCUCAUAUAAUCACAUUUACACACUUAUCCCUAUGAACCUUUAUCUCAUAUAAUCACUUCCUGAACACUCACAAGUAUGAGGCUUCCUAGUUGGCGCGUGCGCGUCGGCAACACGCACACAACCUCUAGGGUAGGUUUUCUUUUUUUUUUUCUUUCUAUUACUCUUUUUUUCACUUUCGGAUUUUUUUCCGUGGUUUUUUUUUAUCGCGUAUGCCGGUGGAUUUUUUUCGACGAGUAUAUCUAACGUAACUAACACAUUAGUUUUAGAUAAUGACGGUAAUUAAGAUAAAGACUUUUUUUCUAGAAGAUAUUUUUAAAGUAACAGAUCGAAAACAAAUUUAUAUGUGAAGUCAAAUUUAGAAAACUUUCAGUCUAGAUUUAAAAACUUUUCAACUUGAAAAUUGAAUUUUUGAAGCCAAAAUUUGAAAACUUUCAACUUUUCAUCUCAAAUUUGAAAAAACUUUCUACUAGGGUUUAAAAACUUUCAACUCAAGAUUUUGAAAACUUUUAACUCGGGUUUGAAAACUUUCAAGUCGAGAUUUUGAAAACUUUCAACUCGGGUUUGAAAACUUUCAACUCGAAUUUAAAAACUUUCAACUCAAGAUUUUGAAAACUUUCAGCUCGGGUUUGAAAACUUUCAACUCAGGAUUGAAAACUUUCAACUUGAGAUUUGAAAACUUUCAGCUCGAGAUUUAAAAAAUUUUAAGUUAAGAUUUGAAAAUUUUUAAGUUAAUUUUAAAAACUUUCUACAAAGACAUUUGAAAAACACGUGUUGUUGGAAGAUUAAAAAAGUAAUAAAAUGUGAAAAAAAAUCACGGAAAAAAGAAAGCGAAACUUUUUUCUAAAAAUAAUCGAAAAAAGGAAAGGAAAAAAUCACCAAAAAAAAGAAAAGCGAAAAAAAUAAGUAACGCUGUCGGCGCGCGCGCCGGCGGGCCCGCGAAUUAGCUCUACCGCACAAGUAUACCCUAUAAAUGAACGCACACACGGGUAUUCGGUAUUCCAUAUAAAAAAAACUAGUUUGUCAUAUUUUAAGAUGACACCUCGUCGCCUAAGACUGAUUCAAACACCUAUGCCUAAUCUAGAACUUAAACACGAAUGGAGCACAAAGAAAAACUAACAUCUUGUGUCAUACUCUGAAUCUGAUGCAUUCAGAUUCAUCAAUUAUAACAUCAGUAAAACAUUCCUUUAAAUGAUUUUGGAAGUUCUAUCUUGCAUGAUGUGGGCUGCCAUUUCUACAAAAAUUGGCCGUUAUUGGGCCCCAAUCCACAGCAGAGGUGUAAAAACAAUCCAACAAAUUGGACCCAGUAACUAUUUCGAUGGAACCAUUAUCACAGCAGGAUACAUUAGACACACUGAGCUAACGUUACAAGGAUGAAACAGAAACUCAAAAUUGAUGUACUACAGCAGUUGCAGCCUUGCAGGCUAAUCAGGCACCAAGAGAUUUUUGCUUCUUCGCUGUGUUCAUGUAUGGCCGUAGCACAAACUCGUUUUGCGCCUCCGCUUGGUCGACAGUUCCUCGCUUGAUCUGCAAGAUCAAAUGAGCAAAGAAUUAAUACCAGAAAGUUCUACUGGCCCAGACAAGAUUCAAACACUGAACUGCAGAUCCAUCUUCACCUGAUAUAGUCGCAACUCGAAUCGAGGGCCAACCUCCUUCAGGUCAAGGGAUUUUGGGCCACCAUGUUUUUCAUAUACGUGAUGCCUGUUGCAGGAGAACGGUUCACAGUUAAGGUGGUUAGGUAUUUUACAUCGAAUUGGAUGUCAGAAGGAACAAAAGAUGCUUGACAAUAUUAGCACUCAUUAACCUGAAUGAGAUGUAGUCAUCUCUGUUAGCGAAAGUAAUUAUCCGUUUUGAAUCUGGCUUUGGCACUGGAAAGAGAUGCUUGACAAUAUUAGCAGUCCUUUCACCAGUCUGUAACAAUAGAAUCUUAUCAAACAGAUGCGGUGGAGCACAGACUGAAGCAGCAUAAUCCCCUGCCGAAGGGCAGAGACAAAAGUAGAAAUGUAUCUAUGUGUUUAAAUGCAAGCUAUACGCUAGAGGAGUUCUAUUUCCUUCAACCUAAAAUAAUUAAGCAACCAAAACAACAAACUCAGUGGAUUCAAUUUAUUUGGGUUCAGUGGAGCAGAGAAUUAAAGAAUUAAAAUUAAAGCCAACAACACAAGCUGUAAAAAGCAGAGGCACUCAGUUUAGUUAUUCUGAAUGGAUUAAAUUUGUCCUGAUGGUCAGUACUUCUCAGGUUAACAAGAAAAAUAUCAUCAUGCCAGGGUUAAUUCAGGAAAAACAAACAAACGACAACCAGAACUAAAAGGAAACUAAGAACAAAUGAAAAAGGAGGCUCUCAGUAUAUUGUUUUGAAUGGAUUGAAGUGUCUUUCAUAGAAGAAACAAGUCUCAGGUUAACGAGAAAAACAUCACAGAAGCCUCCACAACUUUAGAAGCACCAAGAAACAGAAGUAAAAGAAAUUUUUGGAAAUAAACAGCAAGUAAAGUUGGAGGAUCUCAGUCCAGAGUUUUGAAUGGAUUUAAGCGUCUUUCAUAGAAGAAACAAGUCUCAGGUUAACGAGAAAGACAUCACAGAAGCCUCCAUACAACUUAAGAAACACUAAGAAACUGAAGUAAAGGAAAUUUUGGAAAGAAACGGGUAAGUAAAGUUGGAGGAUCUCAGUCUAGAGUUUUGAAUGGAUUUAAGCGUCUUUCAUAGAAGAAACAAGUCUCAGGUUAACGAGAAAGACAUCAUUGUAACCUCCAACUUUGCAACACAGGUAUUUACAUGCCGGGAUGCAAGUCACAAAAAAGUAUACAAACAAGAUUAUUAGGAAGUAGGAACACAUGGUACACCCCUCACCACGCUACAAUAUCAGCAAGAUAUUAAAGCUGCUCAGAUAAGUUUUGGAAUGGAUAGAUAUAGUCCUCAUGGUAGAUCUCAGGUUAACGAGAAAACCAUCAUUGCAGCCACCAAAAAUAAUAAGCAAAUCGUAGUGUAAAAAGAUGUUCACUUCUAUGCAUUAUAAUUGAAUAGAAACAAUUGUGAGAAAGACAAUGAGCAUAGGAUACUCCAAAGGGAACAAAACAAUAAAUAUGCUCAACAACAGCAGAAGAAUCAAUAGAACUGGAGGUGCUCAGCACUUUCAGGUAAAAAUGAACUUUGUAUCAUCACUUCUAGCAAUAUUGCUUAACAAGAAGCCAUUAUUGCCAGUACUCUUGAAUUCCUGAGAAUAUGUAUGUGUGUAUGCAUGUGUGAUGACUGACAGGUUGCCUUCCAGAUAGAUAGAUAGAUAGAUAGACAGACAGACAGGCAGGAAGGCAGCCAGGCAGGCAGGCAGAGAGAGAGAGAGAGAGAGAGAGAGAGAGAGAGAGAGAGAGAGAGAGAGAGAGAGAGAGAGGAGACCAUUUGGCAAGAGUACCCGGAUUAGAAAGAAUCAUCACAGCACCCUCCAGUUCCCGCGUGUUUUAACACAUGAACAUGUCAAUGAACUUACGAAAACAUCGAAAAGAGCAUCAUAGUAGGCUUGAAGCCUCCCACUUUUUGAAGAAAAAGAUAAAUGUAAGCGCUCACUAUUGUGUUCAUCAUGACACUUCAAUCUUGUAUACCUUGGUUUGAAAAAUCAUGAAUCCUUUUCAAACAAAAAAAACAACUUUCAAAACACAUAAGAUUAUCUACUUGCCAUGCAACUUAAAUAUAUUGUCUUAAAACAUCAGAUAAAACCCGUUUGUUGCUUACACGAAAUGAACGCUUUAGAACAAAACAACUCAAAGCAAAGUAUUUCAGUACCUU